AUUUAUCAGAGAUCCGAGCCAUUCUUAUUCGCCUGAUUCUUUAAUGGUACCAAUCUCCAUUUCUUAGAACAGCGGGCUUCCAAUUUUCCAGUAACUACACGCGCUUUCCUCGUUUGUCGCGUAAAGCUCCAAUCGUCGAACGACUUCAACGUACGUCGGUUCGAUGUAGCGAAAUUGUAACUAACUGUAAGCGAAUUACGCGUAAUAGCAGAGGCUGGAAUUUUCGAACCACCGACUGUAAAGUUUAAGAACCUUAUCGGUGGUGCUACUAUACUUGGUCGCUAUAUCGUUAUAUAUCGUUGCGCAGCUAUACCAAGUAAUUACGUUUAUUGUUUCAAAUUGUGAUUUUUUACUUUUAUUUCACAUAGAAUUUAUCUGUUUCUGUGAAUGUGCGUUAUCCUCGAGAUACUUCCAAACUAUGGCUACGUUUGUCAUUGGUUGAGAAAGUUGGGAAAGAAAUACCGUUUAGGUUUAGUUACCGAAAUAAUCCUAUUCAACUUGUACCGCGAGAAAUACGGCUGACUUCUCCGAGUACAAACAACGUACGUAAAAAUUUGGACCGCUUUACGAAAGCAUGGCAAAUUAUUACCGCAUUCGAAUUUCGAGGAAUUUGUUUCUCUCGCUUUAUGAACUACGAUACGACUCGAUUUCCCGUUUUACUUUGACACAGUCGACCAGACCGAAUAUAUUUAAUUAUAACCUAUACAAUGCUGUAUUUUUAAACGAAACUCUCAUCGUUUGAAAAUUUUCAGUACGAAGGGUAUGGCAUAGUUUCUUCCUCUCUUCGUUCGAUCGUUUGCAAUUUGUAAAACACACCGGGAUAGUAAGCGUGGAUAAAUAUCGACAGUUUUCGAUGUUUCAUUCUUUGGUAUUUUUAUAUUUGUACGACUUUCGGUAGUUUAGUUUAUCUUAUACGAUAAAAAUGAAAAUAACUUCUGCGUACUCUGCGCGUUAGUCUUCGAGACGUACUUCGAUAACGUGCCUCUACCUUUGUUCGCGACAAUUCUAUGAAUUGAAUUACUUUACGAAAAGUAAAGAGUAAGAAAACAUAUUCUAUAUCUUUAAAGAGCGAAUGGAUCUUCGAUAUUUGAACAUACCUGCUUCGGAUACGAAUCUCAAACACGUUUUGAAUGUGACAGGACGGCAACGUUUAAAAAUUCGUAGCGAGUGAGAACAAGUGCCUAAGGUUUUGCAAAUAUCGUGCCUUUUUCUAUCGAAAUAAGAUUAAAAAAGAAAAAAGAAAAAAAAAAGAAAGAAAAAUGUAAACGUGUAAAAAAUUCAUAGACAGUGACUGGCUUGUCGAUAUAAUAUAAGUGCGAUAUAAAUAUGUAUAAAAUAGAUGUAAAAGCUGUUAAAGGAUUCUUGGUACGUUUCAUAGGUCGAUUUGCCUUAUCCAGGCUCGUUCAGGCUCACGAGAUCUUGGUAUAGACGCUGGCAAACUGCCAGCAAAGAGGAAGCCUGCUAUCGAAUCGACUUAUAUUCACGGCGUACCUUCGUAACGUCCGUGUUUUACGGAUCGAAAAUAACAUCGGCAGUGUAAACAUUGGCACAUUAUAAUCGAUGUGGAGUAUCGAUCGAGGUUUGUACCGGAAGCCGUUACACUCCCUUUGACAUUCGCGGAACGAUAAUACGAUUAGCGCGAGACAAUCGAAUUCAACGCGUGUUAUAUCAUCCUUGGAUGGAUCGCGUGGACAUUUACCUAUCGUUACCCUUUCCAAACGAUGGAUCUGAUUUCCGAAGAAUUCAUUUUGUCGAAAGGUUUGGAAGAUCGUGUAUUCCCAAAGUAAGCCCCCAUGAAGGGGAAAGCAAAGUUAUUCUAAUCCAUGCAAUGUCUAUUUUCUUUCAGCUUAAAAGUAUACCCAUACGAUAUAUUGGAAUUUCUGUAUGAUUCUAUUCGAAAGUUACAUUUACUUUUUUACUUUUUGGAACUUGGAAAUCUUGAACUUGGAAUCCUUCCGUAAAGUAAAUAAAUUAUAUGUUUAUUUUAUACAAUGCAGUUAAGCGUAUACACAGAGAUGAAGAUGUACGUUUGAUACAUAUGAUCGAAUUAGCGUGCUAUCGAUUUAACGAAUUCGUAUCUAGGAUAAAAUAUAAACAUCACAUAAAAUCACUGCUACGUUUACACGUUACAUACGUAAAGUCAAAUUGUUCUCAUAGAUUCCCUCUACCCGAACGAAAGUUUGUUCAUUUGCAACGCGUAAGAACUUGCAACGCACUUGAUCCAAUAAUCGACUUUGCCUCGCCAGCCAAAAAACGCAAGGUAACGUUUAAACGUUUCAACCCAUGGAGAAAGAAACGCUUUAUACCAGCAAUAAAUUUAUCCGUGCACGUAAACAUUGCAGUCACUUUAUCCGUUACAACCCUGCAGAAACGCUUAAAAUCGAAAAGGAAAUAAAAAAUUAACGACUCUCUCUCUCUCUCUCUCUCUCUCUCUCCUGUCUCUCGGGUUUUUAAAUUCUCAUAAUCCACCAAGUAAAAAUAAAUGGAAUAAAAAGGCGUACAAAUAGGAAUUUUUAACGAGUGAUUUGCAAAAAUUUGUAUUCUUUUACGAUGGUCGAUCGUUCUUUGGAUUAAAUGUUGGCACGGAUUCGCAAAGCGAACGAACACCAUAAAGAAGCCAUCAACUACGCCUUUCUAAGGUCCUUGGCCUUGCCGACAUUCAAAGGCCUUCUUAAUACUCACCUGGGAAAACCAAGCAACGAACAUAAACGAACAGAGGCAAAAAAUGGCAUUCAAUGAAUCAUAGUAGCGACGGGGAUAACUUCUGAAUAUAUACAGAUUUCGAGAACAUCGAAAAAGCGACGAGAAAAUAUUAACCGAAGGAUCGAAUCAAGAGCAUUAAGGACAAUUUAUGUAAAUUACUUUAAAAAUAUCAAAGUUAGUCGUAAACGAUAUACCUAUCGUUACCGCUCAAGGCAAAGAAUUUAAAAAUAUCAGGCAACGUUAUAUUCGUCCAUAAUUUUAACGUUACUUCCAUUUUAAAAACUAUUUAUCUCAAUUAUGAUUUGUUCGUUGUAAGAAAUAUAAUUUCUGAAUAUUUUUCGAUUAUUCAAA